GCAAGCGUUAUUCGGAAUUAUGGGGCGUAAAGGGCGCGUAGGCGGCCUGGCAAGUGGAAGGUGAAAUCCCUCGGCUUAACCGAGGAACUGCCCUCCAAACUGCUUGGCUUGAGUCCGGGAGAGGUGAGUGGAAUUCCCAGUGUAGCGGUGAAAUGCGUAGAUAUUGGGAGGACCACCAGUGGCGAAGGCGGCUCACUGGACCGGAACUGACGCUGAGGCGCGAAAGCGUGGGGAGCAAACGGG
rnacentral:rRNA from 1 species